rnacentral:rRNA from 1 species
GGGUGAGUAACGCGUAAAGAACUUGCCUCACAGCUAGGGACAACAUUUAGAAAUGAAUGCUAAUACCUGAUAUUAUGAUUUUAAGGCAUCUUAGAAUUAUGAAAGCUAUAAGCACUGUGAGAGAGCUUUGCGUCCCAUUAGCUAGUUGGAGAGGUAACAGCUCACCAAGGCGAUGAUGGGUAGCCGGCCUGAGAGGGUGAACGGCCACAAGGGGACUGAGACACGGCCCUUACUCCUACGGGAGGCAGCAGUGGGGAAUAUUGGACAAUGGACCGAGAGUCUGAUCCAGCAAUUCUGUGUGCACGAUGAAGUUUUUCGGAAUGUAAAGUGCUUUCAGUUGGGAAGAAAAAAAUGACGGUACCAACAGAAGAAGUGACGGCUAAAUACGUGCCAGCAGCCGCGGUAAUACGUAUGUCACGAGCGUUAUCCGGAUUUAUUGGGCGUAAAGCGCGUCUAGGUGGUUAUGUAAGUCUGAUGUGAAAAUGCAGGGCUCAACUCUGUAUUGCGUUGGAAACUGUAUAACUAGAGUACUGGAGAGGUAAGCGGAACUACAAGUGUAGAGGUGAAAUUCGUAGA